GAUAAGAACGUAGCGAAAUGCGAUAAGUAAUGUGAAUUGCAGAAUUCAGUGAAUCAUCGAAUCUUUGAACGCACAUUGCGCCCGCCAGUAUUCUGGCGGGCAUGCCUGUCCGAGCGUCAUUUCAACCCUCGAACCCCUCCGGGGGGUCGGCGUUGGGGACCUCGGGAGCCCCUAAGACGGGAUCCCGGCCCCGAAAUACAGUGGCGGUCUCGCCGCAGCCUCUCCUGCGCAGUAGUUUGCACAACUCGCACCGGGAGCGCGGCGCGUCCACGUCCGUAAAACACCCAACUUCUGAAAUGUUGACCUCGGAUCAGGUAGGAAUACCCGCUGAACUUAAGCAUAUCAAUAAGCGGAGGA
rnacentral:misc_RNA from 1 species